GGAGAAGCUGCUGCCUGCGAAUUUGCUGUAGGAGAAGUGCAGACAGGCAGACAGAGGAGAGCUUAAGUUUGACCAGAAUGGACUCUGCACCGGUUUUCCGCUUUGAGCCCAGUGGGGAGCUCUCUCUGCGCCCCUCCCCCAGGGCACUGGCCGCCCAAAGAGCCACGAUCCUGACACUCCAGAAGGCAUCCCCAAUGUCCUGGAGAGCUAAGAGGAUGAGGGCUUUGAAAAGGCAGGGCCAGAAGAGGAACAUGACACCACCAUUUCCUCUUUGCCCUUCACUGACAGCCCUCUCACUCUGCACUCCUCACCCACCGUGGCAGUGGUCCCCUCGGCUCAUGCAGAGCUGCCCGUGGACCCGAGCCCCAGCAUUGUGACUCCAGGCGCUGAUGAUGAUGAUGUAUUCAGAGGCCCAGAUGAAGCCCCGGGGUACGACCACGUGGUCAGGCUGGUGAGGUACCUGGUGGGGCUGCGCCACCAGCCCUGUGUCUCGGAGCGUCAAUUUGCCAGGAUCGUCUCUCUCUGGAACAACCUGCCGGAGAGAGACAGGCAGCGUGUCUCGUACCCACCGAGGCACAGGGAGCGGCUCCUUCAGAGCAGGUUCCAGGCCAGCCACUCGAAAACGUCAGUGUGCGCAGGGAAGGAAAGCCUGAAGUGCUCCCUACUGGGCCAAGGCACUGGGCCUGCACAGUGGCCUCACGUGAGCAGACUUGUGGAGGCCAUCUGCUUGGAGCUCUGCUCUCUGUGAGGCUGAACUGCUUGGCUGCCAUCCUGCAGGACUACAGCAGGAUCAGACGGCUGGUCCUGAGCAACCCGGGGCUCAUGCAGGCCACAUCACUGCAGCUUUUUGAGAUACCAAACAGACAAUGUACGCUGGUUUAAGUGUGUUCAUGCGUUAAGUCUGAAUGAUGUAAUACUCAAUCUGUUUGGUAACUGGAAAGACGUCUACGUCUUUACAGGUUCUCACCUGCAGCCGAUGCUAAUCUGACAUAAUGAUGACCUGGACCUGUAUGACGGAGCAGCAUUUAUUGUCGAAUGUGAGGUACCCUGGGCUAAAUGUAUGUGAACAAAGAUUAAGUCCAUGUAAACUGGGGUUCUUUAAAUCCUACAAGUUAACCAACAAAUUUCGCUUCACGAUACAGGCCGUAAUGUCCUGUUUGUUCCACUGAUGUAAUUCAUGCAAUGUAGUUAAAUUUGUAGUCAUAAUUAUUCACUUACAUGAAGUGUACACUUUGAAAUUGGAUUUAAAAAUGUCGAUUUCGU